GAAGAGGUUCCAUGUUUAUCUGGUGUUUAUCCGCGUUGUGAUACCAGGCGUUCAAGUGUAAUUGUUUGUAAUGGAUGUGUGUGUGUGUGUCUGCAUAUGUGAAGAGGUUCCAUGUUUAUCUGGUGUUUAUCCGUGUUGUGAUACCAGGCGUUCAAGUGUAAUUGUUUGUAAUGAAUGUGUGUGUGUGUGUCUGCGUAUGUGAAGAGGUUCCAUGUUUAUCUGGUGUUUAUCCGCGUUGUGAUACCAGGCGUUCAAGUGUAAUUGUUUGUAAUGAAUGUGUGUGUGUGUGUCUGCAUAUGUGAAGAGGUUCCAUGUUUAUCUGGUGUUUAUCCGUGUUGUGAUACCAGGCGUUCAAGUGUAAUUGUUUGUAAUGAAUGUGUGUGUGCGUGUCUGCAUAUGUGAAGAGGUUCCAUGUUUAUCUGGUGUUUAUCCGUGUUGUGAUACCAGGCGUUCAAGUGUAAUUGUUUGUAAUGAAUGUGUGUGUGUGUCUGCAUAUGUGAAGAGGUUCCAUGUUUAUCUGGUGUUUAUCCGCGUUGUGAUAUCAGGCAUUCAAGUGAAGCUCUUUGUAAUGAACCUUCCCGCCUUGGUGUUGAUUUGCUCUAACCCAUCAAUGUAUCCGUGUGUGUGUGACUAAGCUAAGAGUUACUAGUUUAAGACAAAGGGCUGAGGGCCGUGUUUUAAGACGCCAUCGCUUCUCACAUCAACUAUUUCUAAAGGUCAGAGAGGGGAUCAAACUGUUUUUCAUGAGUGUUUUUUAAGGUUCAUGGCACAGAAGAAGCGUCACACUACCACCAGGGUCAUAAAACUACCCCUGGAAAGGCCUACAGCUCCUACGAAAGCCAUGUCAAAUAUGUGAACUUGGGCGACGAAAUGUUUUCAAACACGACCUUAAGACAAACAUGAACCAUUUGUCAUCACACAAUUCUUUACACAAACCACCUAUAGGAGGAUCAAGGAGCCAGCCAGGAGGACGGAUCACCAACUCCAUCUCCUCCACCUCUACCUCCACCUCCACCUCCGCCUCCGCCUCCACCACCAGCAGAACCACCCAGACUCCUGUGACAUCAAGAUCAAGGUCAAGAUCAACGGAAGUAAACAGAGCGACGCUGCGGAGUCUGUCACGCCGCCCACGCCCACACAGUGCCCCCACGCCCAUCCAGUGCCCCCACGCCCAUCCAGUGCCCCCACGCCUCCACGCCCAUCCAGUGCCCCCACGCCCACACAGUGCCCCCACGCCUCCACGCCCAUCCAGUGCCCCCACGCCUCCACGCCCAUCCAGUUCAGAGUGAGGGCAGUUCUUACCUCAAUGACCUCUAGCAGGUGUCUGCUACGGUGGUGAACCUCCUGCUCCAAACCCAGGAGCAGAGUGAGUCGGAGCUCCAGGACGCACAUGACCAGAUCUCAGACGCACACAGGCAGAUCAGCGCGUACAUGGCACAGCUGGAGGACGCACACAGGGAGCUGGAGGUGUACAAGGACCAGCUGCAGCGAGCGUCUUCCCAGAUCGAGGAGAUGAGGGAGAGAGGGAGGGAGGAGGAGAGGGAGGAGGAGGAGGAGGAGGAGGAGGAGGAGGAGGAGAGGCGGAGGAAGGAGGCAACACUGAAGGAGGAGCAACUAGAAGGCAAAAUUAGAGCGAGAAUCGAGGAAGAGAGAGAGAGAAUCAAAGCAAGCUACGUCGAGCGAGAGAGGAGUGCUGUGGAGCAGGUGGAGCGAGCCGUUAGAGAGAGGUCAGCCUGAUAAAGAGGUAGAAAUUUUGGCCAAGGAGGUCCAGAAGUUGAUGCAGGAUUCUGAAGCGCCCGCCGAGGAUGACAAUUCCCGUGUUCUAAGGAGCGGGUCAACUCAUGACAGAGCUCCUCCUCCUCCUCCUCCUCCUCCUCCUCCUCCUUCUCUCCCGCAUGAUAACAAAGCUCCGGAAAACUUCGAAAGGAAGAACCAAAGGAAGGAAGGAAGACCAUCUCAGAAGACCCCAGAGUCAGCCCCUACAGUCCAUCAUAGUCCAAGAAAUAGCUGAAGGAAGUCCCAAGUCCAAGCGACCUUCCUUUCUUUCUGAUUCAAGUCGUCUGUACCUUCAGCGAGGGGGCAAGGCGACCAUGGACCUCUCCCUUCCCUUCCUUUUCUUUCCCUUCCCUUCCUUCCUUCCUUCCUUCCUUUCCUUUCCCUUCCCUUUCCUUCCUUUUCCUUCCCCUUCCCUUCCUGUCCCUUCCCUUCCCUUCCUGUCCCUUCCCCUCCCUGUCAUCAGCCACACAGUGUCUGCCAUCCAUGUCUUGCAGCAGGCCAGCCAUUCUGACUUGCUCUUCCUUCCAAGCAAGCAGUCACUCUCUCCUCAGCACAUGACCCAGAAGCUUCACUUGUCCUAUGCUUUUCAUCAAGUGCCUGGCUGUCUGCUGCUGCUCUUUGUCAUAGAGUUAAGUUGUCAUUAUCUUAGUUAGUUAGUUAGUUAGAGGUCCAGAUAAUUGUUGUAUGGGCAAGACUCCUGUCCCUCCCUCUCCUUCCCUCCCUUCCUCUCCCUCUCCCCCAAGUUCCCAGUCUGCAGAGGUCCAGAUAAUUGUUGUAUGGGCAAGACUCCUGUCCCUCCCUCUCCUUCCCUCCCUUCCUCUCCACCUGUCCCCCAAGUUCCCAGUCUGUGGAGGUCCAGAUAAUUGUUGUAUGGGCAAGACUCCUGUCCCUCCCUCUCCUUCCCUCCCUUCCUCUCCCUCUCCCCCAAGUUCCCAGUCUGUGGAGGUCCAGAUAAUUGUUGUAUGGGCAAGACUCCUGUCCCUCCCUCUCCUUCCCUCCCUUCCUCUCCCUCUCCCCCAAGUUCCCAGUCUGUGGAGGUCCAGAUAAUUGUUGUAAGGGCAAGACUCCUGUCCCUCCCUCUCCUUCCCUCCCUUCCUCUCCCUCUCCCCCAAGUUCCCAGUCUGCAGAGGUCCAGAUAAAUGUUGUAAGGGCAAGACUCCUGUCCCUCCCUCUCCCUUCCUUUCCAGUCUUUCUCUCUUGUUCCAUUAUUUAUUUUCUCUCCCUCCCUCUUUCUUUGCUCUCUCCCUUCUUUCAUCUCCUCUCCCUUCAGCCGCAUUAUCGUCUUCCUUCUAAUCCAUAGCAUUUUCUCUCUCCCUUUUACAUCUGCUUUAUUUCUCUCUCUCUCUCUCUCUCUCUCUCUCUCUCUCUCUCUCUCUCUCUCUCUCUCUCUCUCUCUCUCUCUCUCU